ensembl:lncRNA
GAGAAAGAGAUUCCCCUUUUGGUAAAGUAUAACCUACAUAUCGCCGGUUAGUCUUUUGAAGUAUGUUAAAUAAUUGUGAAUAAGGAAUAAAAAUCUACUAGCGAAACAACUGAGACACCCCGCCCAGCUUUGGGCGUUGUGAAAGGGCUUAACAGGCGGUUGUGUGAACCACCCUUGUGUUUUGGGACUUUGCCAAGUUGCUGAUCCCAUUCAUACAAUGCAAGAGCAGCGUCCAUUGAAGCACCAAUCAUUGGAGAGAGUUUGCGUUUGAGUGAUGGGCCCAUGUGAGUCUGCUGUAUAAUUUUAAACUUGCUAUUUUGGGUCUGGGGAGGGGGGUAAGCAGCCAUAGCGUGCGCCUCUUUCUCUCUUUCCCUCUCCGAGGAGCUUGUGAGAGGAGCUAGGUUUUGUUCACUGGUUUGCAUUGGUGUCCUUUCACAAAUUAAAAUAUGGGCUGUUGUUUCAGCAAAGAACUGAACCCUAACCUGGUCAGCGAGAGAACAAGUCUUCUUCAGGCGGCCAUUCCCCAGGGCUCCACAGUGAAAGACGUCAGAGACUGUGCUUGGUCUGUUGCCGAUCUGGCCGGAGAGAAGCCUUCUGACAAUGGGAACGUGAACGCUGCUUUAGAUACCAGUUGUAAUGCUUCCUCCACAAACUUGUCAGCAGGUCUCAACCUCAUUAAAGAGGGUGGUAACAGUGUACAGGAAGGAUUGGCAUUUUGGGACCCACCUGUCGGCGAUCCACCUAUCCACGAGGCUGCGGUCCAGAAAGGAAAUGCCAGUGAAAUGGGGAGAGAAGGCAGAGACAAUUGCAAAAUUAAGGAACCUGAAACAUUGGAUUCUGUGAAACGGAGAAUAGCUGAAAAUGCCAGAAUGAGAGCAAGAUGGUUUUGUGAUGGUCAACAGAAUUCCACAGAAUUAACUAGAGAUGGCAAGAGUGAGAACACCACCUUUGGACGAAAUACCCUGGGCGUUAGUCCAUCAUGCAUUUUAAAGGAUCAACACUCUGGUUUCUCCGUUAUUGCAAAAGAGGAACAAGUUAAGACCCUGUGGGAUGUAUCAAAACCUGUGUUCGCUCCACAGCAUGCCAACAUGCUGAGUUUCUACAGCAUCUGCUUGAUUGAUUUAGAGGAUCUCGGGAGCGAGUGUGGGCACCAGCCUGUGACAGAAGCUGACGCAGUCAGAUACAGAGAACACACUUUCUCCCUCUACUGCUGUAGAGGACGCCAUUGAUCAACCCUCCCCCGAUC